CGUAGGGGCGAGCGUUGUCCGGAAUUAUUGGGCGUAAAGCGCGCGCAGGCGGUCCUUUAAGUCUGAUGUGAAAGCCCACGGCUUAACCGUGGAGGGUCAUUGGAAACUGGAGGACUUGAGUACAGAAGAGGAGAGUGGAAUUCCACGUGUAGCGGUGAAAUGCGUAGAGAUGUGGAGGAACACCAGUGGCGAAGGCGACUCUCUGGUCUGUAACUGACGCUGAGGCGCGAAAGCGUGGGGGAGCGAACAGGAUU
rnacentral:rRNA from 1 species